UCGUGUUGGCCAACUUAUUUUGAAGCCCAAAAAUAUCAAAUUAGCCAAGCUCAUACAAUCCCAGCCUACUACCCAAAUACCCAUUACCCUUUACUAAAACUACCACCUACAUAUAAAAAUACAUUUUUUUAGACAACCAUCAGUUCCUAGAUCAAAAAAGGAGAAAACGGCGGCUUGGGACUCCCUUCUUCUUCUCCUUCUUCAAAAAACCUUCAACACACAAUGAGAGAUCCCCCUAAUGCCUGAACUAAGCCGCCGGACCAGACCCAUCCCCAGCCAUAGCGUCGUCCUGCUCCUCUCUCAUCUCUUAAUAAAAGAAAAAGAAAAAGACACUCCCUCGAGCAAGAACACCAGCGACAUCAGCCUUCUUCUGUUUCGCCGGAGCAGCGGGUUUCGUGGCGUUACAUCUCUGUGAUCUCCUCACUUUUACUUUGUCGUAUCACACCCAAGAUCACACACGUGAAAAUACACAAACACAUUAAGAAGCUGGAAUCCGAAAAAAAAUGGUUUCAAGCAAAAAUCAAAAGUAAACUGGAAUUUGAGGUUCGAGUUUGUUGGCUUGCUGUUGCUGAGUUUCCGUUGAAGCGGUGUAGCUGAGCUCCAUCCUCUAUUUCCAUAUUUUAAUUGGUUAAAAUUUCUGGUGUUCUCUGCGUCUAGGUAUGCUCCAUGGCCAUAUGUAGCUCUUUAUCGAAUGAAUGAACAAAACCUGAUUUGUCUAUGUUGUGUUGUACGUGCUAUGUUAAAUCCAGUAUGUUCAUUCGUGAAAUCUGUGUUAAAAAAUAUGGUGAUUUCCAUGUAGAGGUGAUGCCUAAUUUCAAACUUCCAUUUUUUAUAUACUAAGUUCAAACUUCUGUACUGGUUCAUAAAUUCAAUCCGCGUUAAAUGAUAAGUAGGUGUUUAGUGUCCAUGUAACUGUUUUCUCUUUCGAUUUUUAAGCUGAUUGACUAAAUUAUGCUUUGUGUCGCUCAAUAGCUUAUUAUCUUGAAAUGAAAUGUUCCCUUUCUUGCGUGUUUGUUUAAGAUUAGUUGUUUUUUAUUUUAUUUUAUCUUAAAGCAUAAUUUUGUAGAAAUUAGUCUAAACUCAAUUUGAUAUGCUAAAUUCUUUGGCAGUAUAAAAUGACUAAAUCUUUACUUCAACAUAUCUUAUCCAUAAUUCAUGACCUUAUAACAACCCCAAAAUUAUCUUAGGAAAACAAUUGAUGAAUAUUCGUAAAAAAUACUUUAGGCGCGGUUUAAUUUAUCAUUGUGAUUAUGUAUACGUUCGCGUAACAUAAUUAUGAUUUUGUUCUAAAAAUAAAUCGAGGUGUGCCAUACACAAACAAAAAUCUACGAGCUAUGGCCCUCACAUUAGUAUUAACCUAGAUAUUAAAUAAUCAUAACACUCGUAGUUUGCUUUAGGCUCGACUUAGACUAUUAGUGUGAUUAUGUAUACGUUCGCGUAACAUAAUUGUGAAUUUAAUUCUAAAAAUAACUCAAGGUAUGCAUUCGCGCAAUUUCAACCAAACCUUUCUUAAUAAAAUAAACAAAGCAUUAUUAAUUGUGGACACGUUCGCGGGACGUAAUCUUUGACGCGCCAAAGGAAAUGAGUACACGUACGCGUAACUCAAUUCUUUAAUUACGUUUAAAUCAAGUGAUAAAAAGCUGGAAAAGGUAAGUGCACAUAGGUCCUAAAAAUGAGUAGUUUAAAUAUUUAAGCCCAGUAAUAAUCACUAAGCGACCGUGUUAGAACCACGGAACCCGGGAAUGCCUAACACCCUCUCCCGGAUUAAAAUAAUUCCUUAUCUAGAAUUUUUGGUUCGCAGACUUUUUAAUAAAGUCGAAAAUUUCCUCGAUUAGGAAUUUUAAAAUAAAUCGGUGACUUGGGACACCAAAUAAAUUAUUCCAAGUGGCAACUCUGAUAAAUUAAAUAAUUCCAUUUCGAAUAAUGUCACUUUAAUUGGAAAAACUCCCUUAGGGGUGUGUAAAAAGGAGGUGUGACAAUAGGCACCUAUAAUAUUUUUAUGAAUAUAGUCAUCUAUAAAAGUUGUGCAUUUGCUCAUUUUGUUUAUAUCGUGUGGAUCAUGCCAAAAGGAAAUAAGGGAUAACCUUAACAUACAUGAACCAGUUAUCUUGACAAUCCCUCUAACACACGACAAUUGCGACAAAAAACGUGAUGACAAAAUCAGAGUAGGGAAAACCUGUAUGAUAUUCUUGAGAAAGAUUGCAUUGUACUCCCUUAAAAUUGCAAAAUCUUACGUUGCUAAGAUAUUAAGAAAUCUCGUUUGAAUUAAUCACGUUACUACUAUAUGAAUCCUCGUAUGAAUUGGCCGAAGCCUUUAUUCCCCAUAUUGUAGAGAUAUCAAAUCUCCUUAAGUGAUUUAGAGAGAUUUUUAAAUCUUGGUGGGUGUGGGGCCCACAUAUUAGGUGACUAAGCCACAUUAUCCUCUAAAUGUGCCACCUAUAUAUGAACUUAAGAGUCAACAUUUUUGGCUUUCUUGGCUGCCAUGUUGGGGAGGGGGGUGUUUAGGCUUAUCCAAAGUCCUUAAUUAAUCACCGGUGACUUGGGACACCAAAUAAAUUAUUCCAAGUGGCAACUCUGAUAAAUUAAAUAAUUCCAUUUCGAAUAAUGUCACUUUAAUUGGAAAAACUCCCUUAGGGGUGUGUAAAAAGGAGGUGUGACAAUAGGCACCUAUAAUAUUUUUAUGAAUAUAGUCAUCUAUAAAAGUUGUGCAUUUGCUCAUUUUGUUUAUAUCGUAUGGAUCAUGCCAAAAGGAAAUAAGGGAUAACCUUAACAUACAUGAACCAGUUAUCUUGACAAUCCCUCUAACACACGACAAUUGCGACAAAAAACGUGAUGACAAAAUUGGAGUAGGGAAAACCUGUAUGAUAUUCUUGAGAAAGAUUGCAUUGUACUCCCUUAAAAUUGCAAAAUCUUAAGUUGCUAAGAUAUUAAGAAAUCUCGUUUGAAUUAAUCACGUUACUACCAUAUGAAUCCUCGUAUGAAUUGGCCGAAGCCUUUAUUCCCCAUAUUGUAGAGAUAUCAAAUCUCCUUAAGUGAUUUAGAGAGAUUUUUAAAUCUUGGUGGGUGUGGGGCCCACAUAUUAGGUGACUAAGCCACAUUAUCCUCUAAAUGUGCCACCUAUAUAUGAACUUAAGAGUCAACAUUUUUGGCUUUCUUGGCUGCCAUGUUGGGGAGGGGGGGUGUUUAGGCUUAUCCAAAGUCCUUAAUUAAUCACCCACCAAUUCCUUAAUUAACUAGUUAAUCUCUUAUUAACUAAUAAUUAACCAAUUAUCCACAUAAUUAAGAAUUAUUUCAAAUUACUUAAAAUACUACUCAGUUUUAAUAUACUUUAUGUACGCUACUAUCGGGGUCAUGGGGUACCUUGUAUGGCACUACUCCAUAAAUACUGGAUAUUAUAGCUCAGAUCGUAUUAUAUUCCAAAUUGACAAACUUUGACAAAACUCACUUUCUUCAAUUUUUUGUCCUAUCACCUUCACGAAUUUAAUUUUCACUUUUUUGGAAUAGCAUAAUACUUAUAAUCCCAAAAUAAUCUCAUUCCCGAACUUACGUCGAUUAACUUACGACAAAACUUUAACGUAUGAAAAUGCGGGAUGUAACAUCUCAUUUCCGAGUUUUCAUAAAUUCACUAAUGGCAUACUUUCAAGUACGAUAAUAUGGGGUGUAAAAUUUCCUUCCUAUCACACUAAGGUAGGAUUACCGCAGUUUGAGCAUCUCCAGCAGGGCAGUAUGUCGGUCACUCAGUACGAGACCUGUUUUGUGGAUCUAGCUCGUCAUGCCCUUAUCUUGCUUCCUACUGAUAGGGAGAGGAUGAUGAGAUUUAUUGAUGGACCCAUUUAUCCUAUUAGGCUAUUGAUGGCCAAGGAGACCGGGGGUGAGACUUCCUUUCAGACGACCACUAAUGUUGUUGGGCGGAUCGAGAUGGUUCUUGCACAGGAGAGAGGGUAUGGGUCUGAUAAAAGGCCUUGUCAUUCCGGUGGUUUUAGUGGUGCCUCAUCUGGAGGUAGGGGUACUUUUGUUAGGGGUCAUCCUCCCAGGCCAUUUCAGUCGGCGCUUUAGGCAUCCCAUAAUGCUUCAUGGGGUCGUGGUCCUUACGUGCCUUAUUCUGGGAAGCCAUCCUACAACGCACCAUCAACUCCUAUUAGUGCACCUCCAUUUAGAGCUAUCACCGUGGUUAUUCGGCCCGUUGGGGUCAGUCUCAGUUUCAGCAGCCACAACACCAUGCUGGAUGUUUUGAGUGUUGUUGUUUUUUGGCAUAUCAGGAAAACUUGUUCGAGAUUAUUGGGCAGCACGCCACAGUAGAGUUCUUGCGCCAUGGUUUUGGCACCGGUUGCACCACCACCUACCCAGCUAGAGGCAGGGGUUAAGCAGUCAGAGGUGGAGGUCAGGCCGUUAGAGGUGGAAGUCAGGCCGCUAGAGGUUAAGGUUAGGCUGCUUAAGGUGGAGACCAACCAGCUAAAGGCCAUCAUAGAGAUGUAGUACAGAGUGGUGGGGCCCAACCUCGAUGUUAUGAUUUCCUAGCUAGGCCUGAGGCUAUGUCAUCUGACACUGUUAUGACAAAUAUUGUUCCAGUUUGCCAUAGAGAUGCCUAAGUUCUAUUUGAUCUGGGCUCUACUUAUUCCUGCGUGUCAUCUAUUUUGCUUUCAUAUCUAGUUGUGCCUCGUGAUUCUUUGAGUGCUCCUGUGUAUGUGUCCACACCUGGGGGAGAUAUUAUUAUUGUAAAUCGUGUCUAUCGUUCAUGUGUGGCUACUAUUGGGAGUCUUGAGACUAGCACAGAUCUCAUACUUCUCGAUAUAGUAGAUUUUGAUAUCAUCUUGGGUGUGGAUUGGCUAUCACCUUAUCAUGCAAUAUUGGAUUGUCACGCCAAGACGGCGAUCUUAGCCUUGUCGGUGUUACCUCAAUUAGAGUGGAGGGGGACUCUUGACCAUUCUACCAGCAUGGUUAUCUCUUAUGUGAAGGCUCGGAAUAUGGUCGAGAAGGGGUGUCUAUCUUAUUUGGCUUAUGUAGAUUCUAGUGCGGAGGUUCCUUUUAUGGAUUCAGUAAGUUCGUGAGUUUCCAAAGUUGUUUCCUACAGAUCUGUUGAGGAUGCGACUCGACAGAGAUAUUGACUUCUCUAUUGAUUUGACUCCGGACACUCAGCCCAUUUAUAUUCCGCCAUACCAUAUGGCCCCACCAGAGUUGAAAGAAUUGAAGGAGCAGUUGCAUGAUUUACUUGAUAAGGGCUUCAUUAGACCUAGUGUCUCGUCCUGGGGUGCGCCUAUGUUCUUUGUGAAGCAGAAAGAUGGAACAAUGAGGAUGUGCAUAGAUUACCGGCAAUUAAACAAAGUCACCAUCAAGAACAAGUAUCCAUUGCCGAGGAUUGAUGACUUAUUUGAUCAGUUUCAGGGUGCCAAGGUAUUUUCGAAGAAUGAUUUGAGGUCUGACUACCAUCAGUUGAGGAUUAGGGCGUCCGAUGUCCCUAAGACAGCUUUUUGGACUCGAUAUGGGCAUUAUGAGUUUCUGGUGAUGUCAUUCAGGCUGACAAAUGCCCCGACAACAUUUAUGAACUUGAUGAACCGGGUGUUCAAGCCUUAUUUGGAUUCUUUUAUGAUUGUGUUCAUUGAUAAUAUCUUAAUCUACUCCCAUAGUCGAGAGGAGAACGAGCAACAUCUUAGGAUCGUAACUUCAAACUCUGAGACGGUCAGUUAUCUGCUAAGUUUUUAAAGUGCGAGUUUUGGUUGGACUCGAUCGCCUUCUUGGGGCACGUUGUAUCAACAGAGGGUAUGUAGGUUGAUCCUAAGAAGAUUGUGGCCGUCCAGAAUUGGCCAUAGCCUACUUCAGCCACAGAGAUCCGUAGUUUCUUGGGAUUGAUAGGUUAUUACCAUCAGUUUGUGGAGGGGUUUUCAUCUAUAGCAGCCUCAUUGACUAGGUUGACCCAGAAGGGUGCCCCGUUCAGAUGGUCAGACGUGUGUGAGGCAAGCUUCCAAAAGCUCAAGACAACUUUGACUACGGCGCAAGUGUUGGUGUUGCCCAUAGAUUCAGGAUCUUAUACAGUAUAUUAUGAUGCAUCUAGUAUUGUCUGGGUACGGUAUUGAUGCAGGGUGGGAAGGUUAUGGCAUCUGCUUUGCGGCAGUUGAAGGUCCACGAGAAGAAUUACCCUAUUCAUCCAUUAAUUAUAGCUCUAAUCCGUAAAAAAUAGCAUAGGAACAAAUUUUGGGUCCAAAUUCCUUACCUCAAUGAAGUUCACCUGAAAUCCCUCUUUCAAAUCGUCCAAAAUGCUCCAAACCCGAGAUAGAAAUGGUGAAAAUAGAUCAAAAAUUGUGAAGGACACAAUUUAUACCUUCUGCCCAGGCAUUUUCGCAUCUGCAACCCUAUUUACCGCUUAUGUGGUACCGCAUUUGCGGUCAACCAACCGCUUCUGCGGUUUUUCACUUAACUCACCACUUUCCGCAUCUGCGGUGCCAUUCCCGCAUCUGCAGCAUCGCAGGUGCGGUCCCUAAAACCGCUUCUGCGGUUUCCUGACACCUUAACAAAUUCUGCUUCUACGACCCCUUUCCCGCAUAUGCGGCGUCGCACCUGCGGUCCCCAAGCCGCAGGUGCGGAAAUACUAGAAGCAGCACAAUCUGCAGCUGCAACAAUUCCUCAAACUCCCCGUCAACCAUCCGAAAUCACCCCUGAGGCUCCCGGGACCUCAACCAAAAGCACCAACAUAUCCCAAAACCUUAUUCAAACUUGUACCAAUCUUCAAAAUACAUCAAACAACAUCAAACCAACCAAAACGCACCGGAUUCAAGCCUAUGUUCCCAAAAUCUUCUGAAUUCCACUUUUGAUCAAAAACCCAACUAAACCACGUCCGAAUAGCCUGAAAUUUUGCACAUACAUCCCAAAUAACAAAACGGAACUACUGCAACUCUCGAAAUCCAUUUCGACCCCUAUAUCAAAAUCUCACCUACAAAUCGAAAAUCACCGAAAUUCCACUUUCGCCAAUUCAAUCCUAAAUCUACUCCGGACCUCCAAAACUUAUUCCGAUCACGCUCCUAAGUCCCCAAUCACCUUCCAAAGCUAACUGAACCAUCGGAACUCACAUCCGAGCCCUCUAACACAUAAGUCAACAUCCGGUUGACUUUUCCAACUUAAGCUUCCUCAAAAGAGACUAAGUGUCUCAAACCUUACCAAAAUCAUUCUGUAUUAGAUCCGACCAAUCCGAUACCACAUAAAACGGAUAAUCAAAGCAUAAAAAAUAGAAAUGGGGAAAUAGAGCAGUAACUCAUGAGAUGACUGACCGGAUCGUCACAUUAUUUUUUUAAAUUAUAUAUUCGCGUGUUUAUUAUUUUUAUUUUUUGAAUCUCCUUAGUGAAAAUCUUACUUCCGCUACUGCAUUGUUGGUAGAAACGUCAUAUGAAGUGUGUCCACCGAGAGGCGAGGUGGGUAGAGACUUGUUCAUGAUUUACCUACUUUGGUUUGAUAGAACUGAUGUGGAUGCCUUUCUUGCAUGCACAACCUUUUCAUUUGUCUUGACACUAAAGAUGAACACCAACCGGUACAAAAUUAAUGUACCUGCCAGAAUGACUAGGUCUAUCCACUUUGAGUAUGUCAUUUCUAAUUGCCAUCUAUUUCUCAAGAUAUCUUCUCCAAUAAUUGUGUGUUUCCAUUCUGAUAGUCCUUAAAUUUAACCCUUCAAAUUCAUUUUUAAACAUGCAUGUUCAUCUCUAUUGUCUAUACCUCGAUUGAAUCAUAGCUUGAGUCGACGUUAUAAUAGAUAGAGCCAAGACCUAAAGCAAUGACAACAUAAGACACGAAUCACAUCCAAUAGUAGCCAAGAUCACGGAACAUGUUCACAACUAACCUCCUUGUCAAAACAAUGCUUUGUGUAGUAAAAUUCGCGUGACUUUUUUUCCCAAUAUUGCACCACCCUGAAAAUAUAUAAUGCUUGUUAGAAUGCUUCCUUCUCAUAGCCUUGCAAACAACCCCUCCUCCUUCCUUCUCUUUUGGGAGUUGCUUACCUGUUGACAUAUUUCUAAGAUAUGGUUCCGAAUUUUAUGGUAACUCUCAAAUGAUUCAUAUGAAUUUACAGAAGAUCUAGCUACUACUUUUUCAGUCUGUUUUCUUUCAGCCGAACUAUAUUCGAUAUCCUAUUAAUAGGAUGAUUGGACAUUCAGUAAAAUACAACAUUUGCCGUUUUAAUUCCUAGAAAAGGAAAGAGUAUGAUACUAUUUACAAGUUUAACUCAUAAAUGUCUUUGUUUAUUGUUUUAAGAAAAUGAUCAGACGGACUCGGA
rnacentral:lncRNA from 1 species